AUGGAUCAUUACCAAUUUUAUAUUAUUAGUGUUGUGCAACCUCCGUCAAAAGAGGCCGCCACAACUACUACUAUUGUAAACGUUGAACUAGAUCAUUGGUUGUGGAUUGCUUGGGAAUGGACGAAGCGACAAGCCUCUUCCGGACAGGCAAACCCCACACCGAUAACCUUUUCAUAUAUAUUACAACUAGUACAUACUACAAACAAACAAACAAAAACAAAAGCUAUAAUAGGACUUAUAUUACGAGUUGAGUGGGUAAAAGCCUCGGCUCUUAAAAAAUUAAUAACUAUUACAACUUUCAGCAAUGGAUCUCUAGGCUCUC
rnacentral:misc_RNA from 1 species